CCUACGGGAGGCAGCAGUGGGGAAUAUUGCACAAUGGGCGCAAGCCUGAUGCAGCCAUGCCGCGUGUGUGAAGAAGGCCUUCGGGUUGUAAAGCACUUUCAGCGGGGAGGAAGGCGGUGAGGUUAAUAACCUCAUCGAUUGACAUUACCCGCAGAAGAAGCACCGGCUAACUCCGUGCCAGCAGCCGCGGUAAUACGGAGGGUGCAAGCGUUAAUCGGAAUUACUGGGCGUAAAGCGCACGCAGGCGGUCUGUCAAGUCGGAUGUGAAAUCCCCGGGCUCAACCUGGGAACUGCAUUCGAAACUGGCAGGCUAGAGUCUUGUAGAGGGGGGUAGAAUUCCAGGUGUAGCGGUGAAAUGCGUAGAGAUCUGGAGGAAUACCGGUGGCGAAGGCGGCCCCCUGGACAAAGACUGACGCUCAGGUGCGAAAGCGUGGGGAGCAAACAGGAUUAGAUACCCCGGUAGUC
rnacentral:rRNA from 1 species